rnacentral:rRNA from 1 species
UCUGGUGGUGAUGGCGGAGGGGCCACACCCGAUCCCAUCCCGAACUCGGAAGUUAAGCCCUCCAGCGCCGAUGGUACUGCAGGGGGGACCCUGUGGGAGAGUAGGUCGCCGCCAGAG